UAUGCCUCACCCCCCUGGGGGGGCUGGGGAGCCUGGGCACGGGGGCAUGUCUGGGCUGCAAGAUAGGCAUCGGUAUCCACGGAAUUGGCCCGCAAACACCCCAGCCCCCUCCGCCCCGUCCUGGAUGUCGGAAAAUUUCCCGGGACACGGUGGGCCCACCGGGGCCCAUUUUCGGAAAAAUUCAAAAAUGGAGCAUGGGCAUCGCCCUUGCUUUAGGCAUACAUGGGGCUUUAUUUUCUUAUUGUAGGUGAGGCAUCGAGGUGUUGUGUAGCCUAUAAUAGCCCCAGUCGGAACUGACGCGGGCCCGAAUAUGAAUUGACGGAAUUUUAUGCGGCUGUGAUGGCCGUAGAGGGCGAGGCCGAGACAUGGAUGGAAGAUCCAACCAAAGCUGUUGGGGCCCAACC
rnacentral:lncRNA from 1 species